GAGAGUUUGAUUCUGGCUCAGGACGAACGCUGGCGGCGUGCCUAACACAUGCAAGUCGAGCGAGUGGAGUUCUUCGGAACAAAGCUAGCGGCGGACGGGUGAGUAACACGUGGGCAACCUGCCUCAUAGAGGGGAAUAGCCUCCCGAAAGGGAGAUUAAUACCGCAUAAGAUUGUAGCUUCGCAUGAAGUAGCAAUUAAAGGAGCAAUCCGCUAUGAGAUGGGCCCGCGGCGCAUUAGCUAGUUGGUGAGGUAACGGCCCACCAAGGCGACGAUGCGUAGCCGACCUGAGAGGGUGAUCGGCCACAUUGGGACUGAGACACGGCCCAGACUCCUACGGGAGGCAGCAGUGGGGAAUAUUGCACAAUGGGGGAAACCCUGAUGCAGCAACGCCGCGUGAGUGAUGACGGCCUUCGGGUUGUAAAGCUCUGUCUUCAGGGACGAUAAUGACGGUACCUGAGGAGGAAGCCACGGCUAACUA
rnacentral:rRNA from 1 species